GACGAACGCUGGCGGCGUGCUUAACACAUGCAAGUCGAACGGAAAGGCCCUGCUUUUGUGGGGUGCUCGAGUGGCGAACGGGUGAGUAACACGUGAGUAACCUGCCCUUGACUUUGGGAUAACUUCAGGAAACUGGGGCUAAUACCGGAUAGGAGCUCCUGCUGCAUGGUGGUGGUUGGAAAGUUUCGGCGGUUGGGGAUGGACUCGCGGCUUAUCAGCUUGUUGGUGGGGUAGUGGCUUACCAAGGCUUUGACGGGUAGCCGGCCUGAGAGGGUGACCGGCCACAUUGGGACUGAGAUACGGACCAGACUCCUACGGGAGGCAGCAGUGGGGAAUAUUGCACAAUGGGCGGAAGCCUGAUGCAGCAACGCCGCGUGCGGGAUGCCGGCCUUCGGGUUGUAAACCGCUUUCGCAUGUGACGAAGCGUGAGUGACGGUAAUGGGUAAAGAAGCAACGGCUAACUACGUG
rnacentral:rRNA from 1 species